GGCGAACGCUGGCGGCGUGCCUAAUACAUGCAAGUAGAACGCUGAAGGAGGAGCUUGCUUCUCUGGAUGAGUUGCGAACGGGUGAGUAACGCGUAGGUAACCUGCCUGGUAGCGGGGGAUAACUAUUGGAAACGAUAGCUAAUACCGCAUAAGAGUAGAUGUUGCAUGACAUUUGCUUAAAAGGUGCAAUUGCAUCACUACCAGAUGGACCUGCGUUGUAUUAGCUAGUUGGUGGGGUAACGGCUCACCAAGGCGACGAUACAUAGCCGACCUGAGAGGGUGAUCGGCCACACUGGGACUGAGACACGGCCCAGACUCCUACGGGAGGCAGCAGUAGGGAAUCUUCGGCAAUGGACGGAAGUCUGACCGAGCAACGCCGCGUGAGUGAAGAAGGUUUUCGGAUCGUAAAGCUCUGUUGUAAGAGAAGAACGAGUGUGAGAGUGGAAAGUUCACACUGUGACGGUAUCUUACCAGAAAGGGACGGCUAACUACGUG
rnacentral:rRNA from 1 species